rnacentral:misc_RNA from 1 species
GACCAGAAUGCCAAGCUGAUGUUCCUAAUACUCGAUUCAGACCUAGGGCAGGAAGAACUCUCAGUGAAAGAAGAUGGAAGGCUGCAUUCUCUCAAGAGGGUUAUUUGGAUAUAGCAGGUGUUCUUAGACGAAUCCAACGAGGGGGGAUUCAUCCAUCAAUUAAAGGGGCGGCCUGGGAGUUCCUGUUGGGUUGUUUUGACCCUGAUAGCACAUUUGUGGAAAGAAAUCAGCUUAGACAACAGCGAAGGGAGCAGUAUGCUGCAUGGAAAUCUGAAUGUCAAAAGAUAGUGCCUGUCAUCGGCAGUGGAA